AAGGCAAACCGGGCAUGGAGCUAAGAAAUAUGUUGAAGUCACACACCUUACGCUGACACUACAAACAUGAUGCUUUUUUUAUGCAACCCUAUUGGAGCCAGCCAAAAAUCAAAUCUGCAGUUUCAACUUAACCACGGUUAACAGAACAAAAGCAGAAACGUCUGAAGAGUAGUUUUGGAAAUUGGACUCCGCUGAAUGAGCUUACUGGGAGGAAAGGUAAGACCCCAAAAAGAAGGAAGAACAUACAGGGGUUAAAAAGCUGGAGUGACCAUCUGUUUCAACCACUAGUCCCAAAAGGGACUGCCCCAAAGAAAGAGCCAACUAAAAGGAAUUGUUACAAAAGAACUGAAGAGAGGAGGCCAGAAGAGGGAAGAGUUCACCAGAAAUCCAUCUGCAUAACCCUAUUCAGCCAAAAGCAAAGAUUUCAGCAAUUAGAUCCCAGAAUUAUUGCAACAAAUGUUUGAAAUUACAGGCCUAUAAACUGGGGAGCUAUUUCAUGAGAGACAUUACUUCUGAAUGUUUUUUUAUUUGAAUUACUAUCUGCUUCCCAAUGUCUAAAGUUAGAGAUAAAAGUGUGGAGAGGGAAUUCUUUUCUUA